UACAGAGGGUGCAAGCGUUAAUCGGAAUUACUGGGCGUAAAGCGUGCGUAGACGGUAGCGUAAGUCGGGUGUGAAAGCCCCGGGCUCAACCUGGGAAUUGCAUUCGAGACUGCGUGGCUAGGGUGCGGAAGAGGGAAGCGGAAUUUCCGGUGUAGCGGUGAAAUGCGUAGAUAUCGGAAGGAACACCAGUGGCGAAAGUGGCUUCCUGGUCCAGCACCGACGUCAGGCACGAAAGCGUGGGGAGCAAACAGG
rnacentral:rRNA from 1 species